rnacentral:rRNA from 1 species
UACGUAGGAUCCGAGCGUUGUCCGGAUUUACUGGGUGUAAAGGGUGCGCAGGCGGACUGGUAAGUCAGUGGUGAAAUCCUCGUCGCUUAACGACGAAACUGCCUUUGAUACUAUCAGUCUUGAAUCCGGUAGAGAUCUGUGGAAUUCCGAGUGUAGCAGUGAAAUGUGUAGAUAUUCGGAAGAACACCAGUGGCGAAGGCAGCAGAUUGGGCCGGUAUUGACGCUCAGGCACGAAAGCAUGGGGAUCAAACAGG